GACGAACGCUGGCGGCGUGCUUAACACAUGCAAGUCGAACGGAAAGGCCCUGCUUGCAGGGUACUCGAGUGGCGAACGGGUGAGUAACACGUUGGUGAUCUGCCCUGCACUUCGGGAUAAGCCUGGGAAACUGGGUCUAAUACCGGAUAGGAGCCAUUUUUAGUGUGAUGGUUGGAAAGUUUUUUCGGUGUAGGAUGAGCUCGCGGCCUAUCAGCUUGUUGGUGGGGUAAUGGCCUACCAAGGCGGCGACGGGUAGCCGGCCUGAGAGGGUGGACGGCCACAUUGGGACUGAGAUACGGCCCAGACUCCUACGGGAGGCAGCAGUGGGGAAUAUUGCACAAUGGGCGCAAGCCUGAUGCAGCGACGCCGCGUGGGGGAUGACGGCCUUCGGGUUGUAAACUCCUUUCGCUAGGGACGAAGCUUUUGUGACGGUACCUAGAUAAGAAGCACCGGCUAACUACGUG
rnacentral:rRNA from 1 species